rnacentral:rRNA from 1 species
AUGGCGAUGGCGAUGGCGAUGGAGACGGCGACGGGUUUCUCUGGCGAUGGAGACGGCGACGGGUUGAGGGCUACGGGGACGCCGCGGCGAGGAGGGGCAGGCGCGAGGUGGGGGCUCUGUCCGGCGGUUUCCCAUGACAUCUACUACCGGAAGGCCAAGGAGGAGGGGUGGAGGGCUCGCAGCGCCUUCAAGCUCAUGCAGAUCGACCAGGAGUUCAACAUCUUCCACGGUCUCGUCUCAACCCAAUCAGCUCGCUCGCCUUCCUGCCACUUUGCUUCCAUUGGAGUGAAGCGUGCCGUUGACCUGUGCGCUGCUCCUGGGAGCUGGAGCCAGAUGUACAUAUGCUGCCAGGUUAUCAGGGACUUUGAUGGAUGUAAAGCAGACUUGGUUGUGUGUGAUGCUGCCCUGAUGUUACUGGACUUCAUGAUAUGGACGAGUUUGUUCAGUCUUCAGUCCUAG